UUAUUUACCUCGGUCAACCUUAUUUGUCAGUGGCCUUUAAUCUGUAUUAUUCAUUUAUAUCCACUAAAUGAUUUCUCACUGUCGUGUAUACUUUAUUAUAUUAACCGCAGAUGAAGCAUUACACUUUUAUUUACGAUAAAGGGAAGCGACCAAUCAGACGUUAAUACGCCACGAGAAGGCGACUCCAAACUCCAUUCCUAAUUGGCUCCUCUGUUUUUAAUGGUCCAAUCACAUUCCAUGUUCGUAUUCACAUGUUGUGUACUUCUACCACUUCUACUCUGCUUGUGCCAGUGUACGAGGGGUUUAUGUUGUAUUUUACCAUACGUGACAGAAUCCAGUUAAUCUGUCGUACAUUGCACUGCGUUUAGAGGAGUCGUCUGCAGCUGCGAGUGUUUUGGCACUUUUUUCGGUAUUCAUUCGUUCAAAGUGCAAGUUCACGCCAUGUCUGGACACGGUCACGGCGGCGGACACCGUCACGGUUGCUGUGAAUGCGAUCACGAGCCCGCUGAGCGAGGAGUGGAAUAUGAGCUGUACAGACGCAUUGAUAUAGAGAAGCUUCAGUGCUUGAAUGAGAGCCGAGACGGAGACGGUAAACUGGUGUUCAAGCCGUGGGAUCAACGCACUGACAGGGCGAAGUUUGUUGAAAGUGAUGCUGACGAGGAACUUCUGUUUAAUAUACCGUUUACAGGUAGUGUGAAGCUGAAGGGAAUCAUUAUUUCUGGGGAAGAUGAUGAGUCACACCCAGCUGAAAUUAGACUGUACAAGAACAUACCCCAGAUGUCAUUUGAUGACACCAGCAGAGAGCCAGAACAAGCGUUUCGUCUAAACAGGGAUCCACUGGCUGAACUUGAGUAUCCAACCAAAAUUGCCAGAUUCUCCAACGUGCAGCACUUAUCUGUUCACAUAUCUCGGAACUUUGGGGCAGAAUCCACUCGUGUGUAUUACAUUGGGCUACGGGGAGAGUUUACAGAGAGGCCACUGUUAUAUUGUUGAACCAAGCUGCUCCAACUGUAGAAUCCUCCAUCUAUCAUGACACCGGCGACAGAGGAAUAUAAACUAUGCAUAUAACUGAUAGUUCCAAAAAGCAACCACUGGGACCGAUUAAUCGGCUCACAGGCAUGAGGUUACAAUCUGUAACUAUGAGGCAGCAGCCAACCCAGCAGAUCACAAAGUGGAGAGCAUUACUCCGCAGACACAGUUCAUAUCAUGACAAAUUAAGGAGAGAGAAUCUCGUGCUUACUGUGUGAAACACUAAAAGUGUGCAUGAAUUUUGAUAACAGUGAGAUGUUGAACUAAGAGUCUUUAUAGGCUUUUCUUUGAUGUGUUAACAUGGAUUUGACUAUUUACGAGGUUUUGGUCAUCUGCAAUUCUGCUAAUGUGCCAAUAAACAUUAAGAUAUAUGCAUUAUUUAUUAAUUAGUUUAUGCCUAUGUCAAAUAAACAAAAUUUCCUUGAACUAAGAGAAUGCAACAGAUGAGCGGUGUAAGAAAUCUGUUUUCUAUAAAGAAAAUAAUUGAAGAACGCCAUUUAGUGGAUAUCUUGCGGGUUGGAUUUACAACAUCUUUAUUCAUUCUCUUCAUAUAUUUUUGCAUUGUAAAAAGGGCGAGUGGCAGUUUCGAAUCGCGUCAGUUGCUUCAUAUGUUUAAUUUAGACAAUUAAAUUUUAAUUCAAAUGUAUGACUUCACACAAGUUGCUUUAACUGAAUUUGAGAAACAUUUCAAGCCCUCUAUUACAUAGAAAAUAGUUUUUUGUACAGAGUCACACUACAAAAAAAAUCACUAACAUUGCCAGAGAAAAUCAGUCAAUGUCAUUUACAAAAUGUGUGAAAUUUUUGUUUACAGAGAGCCCGUCUUUCUUGUGUAUAAGGUUUUUGCUCACUAUAAUUACUAACUGUACAAUAUGUACUACUACACAUUUUAAAAUAGCAUCUUUUAAAUAAAAUAUCACAUCAAA